rnacentral:antisense_RNA from 1 species
CUCCGGCUGCUGGGGCAGGGCGGCGAAAGGUCAGUCGGCCGAGCGGAGUCCGUGGAGCCACCGUUUCAUAGCCUCAGGGAAAGGACCGGGCGUGCUUACGAGCCCUCUAACCCAUGGCUUAAACACCCGCUUCCUAAGCCUGGGUUCUUAUGGCUUUGUUUGAAAAACGCGGUUCCCUGUGAAAUUUUACAUGUAGAAGAAAGCUUCACGCUACGAAAGCUCUCAGGAUAUAAUUAUUUCAGACAGAUACUGGGAACAUAAGAUGGCUUAUCAAUCUAAGAUGGCCUUCCUGUCCUUCGGAUUGAACUGAAACCAUCCCUGAUUCCAGGGAUAGGUAGAUGAUCCAGGUUUGGACAAUCAAAAUAUUGAACCACCCUGGACCUACAAGUGUUUCUGGGAUGGAAGCAUGCAAACGUUGGUCUAAAUUGUUGUUCUAGGCAGCCCAGUACAUUUCUCCAGUGCCUGAUGGAAUGAUAGGGUACACAUAAAUGUUCAUGUGGGCUCUGGAGUAUACCAGGAACUGAAGUAAGGUACAUGGACGUCUUGAAUAUUGUAACUGUGAGAUGGGCAAGCCUACACCUUUGCAAAUAAAGGAGGAUUGGGAAAGAUUAAGCCUCUCAAGCACUGUGAAAAAUCACUUUCUCUUGUUGUAUUCUUGGAGCCCCUGCUAAUUCAUUAUUGAAAAGUACCUGCUGCCUGCAUUUGGCCUUAUGUUGUCAUUUACUUGGUACUUCCUAAGGGUGGCUUCUCCAAUGAAGCUUUAGUAUAUGUACUGAAAGAAGAUCCUCUCAUACUGCCACGGCCAACAGAUAAGGUUGUAAAUCUUUAUUGGGAGAAGCCAUCAAGGACAGUUCUGUGAAAUGAAAGGAUCUCUGAAUCACCACAAAGUCUGGCUCAGUGAUUAUGGCUUUGCAAACACUAAACAUUCCUAUCUCAAGUCCUGUAGAUGGCUUGAAAUAGUAUACAUAAGCAUGCCUUAUAAACAUCUUCAAUCUUUAUCAACUCUUCGGAGAUUCAGCCAUUCUUUUUUGUACUUUAGGGAAUUAA